AUUGAACGCUGGUGGCAUGCCUUACACAUGCAAGUCGAACGGUAACGGGCCGUCCUUUGCCGUCUGGUGUCGAACGGGGGCGGAAUACAUCGGAACGGGCCCGAUCGUGGUAAGUAACGGGUCAAAAGCUUUGCUAGUACCUCAUACGGGCUACUAUUUAAAGCCGGGGGCCGCAAUGCUUUGCGCGGGCGUUGCGGCCGAUGGCAGAUUAGGUAGUUGGUGAGUUAAAAGCUUACCAAGCCGACGAUCUGUAGCGGGUCUGAGAGGAUGAUCAGCCACACUGGGACUGAGACACGGUCCAGACUCCUACGGGAGGCAGCAGUGGGGAAUCUUGGACAAUGGGCGAAAGCCUGAUCGAGCAACGCCGCGUGAAGGAUGAAGGCCUUCGGGUUGUAAAACGCUUUUGUAAGGAAAGAAAAAAUUUGUUUGAAUCUAGGAGGGUCAUGACGGUACCGUAAGAAUAAGCCACGGCUAACUACGUG
rnacentral:rRNA from 1 species